rnacentral:rRNA from 1 species
GACGAACGCUGGCGGCGUGCUUAACACAUGCAAGUCGAACGAUGAAGCUGGAGCUUGCUCCGGUGGAUUAGUGGCGAACGGGUGAGUAACACGUGAGCAAUCUGCCCUUGACUCUGGGAUAACUGCGGGAAACUGUAGCUAAUACCGGAUACGAGACCUGAAGGCAUCUUCGGGUCUGGAAAGAAUUUCGGUCAAGGAUGAGCUCGCGGCCUAUCAGCUUGUUGGUGAGGUAAUGGCUCACCAAGGCGACGAAGGGUAGCCGGCCUGAGAGGGUGACCGGCCAAACUGGGACGGAGACACGGCCCAGACUCCUACGGGAGGCAGCAGUGGGGAAUAUUGCACAAUGGGCGAAAGCCUGAUGCAGCAACGCCGCGUGAGGGAUGAAGGCCUUCGGGUUGUAAACCUCUUUUAGCAGGGAAGAAGCGAAAGUGACGGUACCUGCAGAAAAAGCACCGGCUAACUACGUGCCAGCCGCCGCGGUAA